CCUACGGGUGUCAGCAGUGGGGAAUAUUGCACAAUGGGGGAAACCCUGAUGCAGCGACGCCGCGUGAGUGACGAAGUAAUUCGUUAUGUAAAGCUCUAUCAGCAGGGACGAAAAUGACGGUACCUGUGUAAGAAGCCCCGGCUAAAUACGUGCCAGCAGCCGCGGUAAUACGGAGGGGGCAAGCGUUAGCCGGAUUUACUGGGGAUAAAGGGAGCGUAGACGGGAUUGCAAGUCUGGAGUGAAAGGCGGGGGCUCAACCCCCGGACUGCUCUGGAAACUGUACGGCGUGAGUGCAGGAGAGGUAAGUGGAAUUCCUAGUGUAGCGGUGAAAUGCGUAGAUAUUAGGAGGAACACCAGUGGCGAAGGCGGCUUACUGGACUGUAACUGACGUUGAGGCUCGAAAGCGUGGGGAGCAAACAGGAUUAGAUACCCGAGUAGUC
rnacentral:rRNA from 1 species